rnacentral:rRNA from 1 species
GUGGGGAAUAUUGGACAAUGGGCGAAAGCCUGAUCCAGCCAUGCCGCAUGUGUGAAGAAGGUCUUCGGAUUGUAAAGCACUUUAAGUUGGGAGGAAGGGUAGUAACCUAAUACGUUGCUACUUUGACGUUACCGACAGAAUAAGCACCGGCUAACUUCGUGCCAGCAGCCGCGGUAAUACGAAGGGUGCAAGCGUUAAUCGGAAUUACUGGGCGUAAAGCGCGCGUAGGUGGUUCAGCAAGUUGGAGGUGAAAUCCCCGGGCUCAACCUGGGAACUGCCUCCAAAACUACUGAGCUAGAGUACGGUAGAGGGUAGUGGAAUUUCCUGUGUAGCGGUGAAAUGCGUAGAUAUAGGAAGGAACACCAGUGGCGAAGGCGACUACCUGGACUGAUACUGACACUGAGGUGCGAAAGCGUGGGGAGCAAACAGGAUUAGAUACCCGUGUAGUCC